UUGUAUUUUAUUUAUUAAUUAUAUUUUUUUUUAUUAUAAAUUAUUAAAAAUAAUUAUUAUAUGAUUUGUUUGAGUAUUUUAUAAAGAAAAAAUAAUUUUAAUUAUAGUUAAAUAGUAUUGUGAAAGAAAAUUGAAAUAAUUUGAAAAAUUAAUAUUGUAAAAGAAAAUUUAAUUUAUUGUACCUUGUGUAUCAGGGUUUAUCAAAUAAAAAUUAUUUAUUAUAAUUUUCUCGAUUUUAAAAGAGUUAAUAUAUUAUAAAAGUUAAUGUGACAAAAUUAUUUUGUAUAAUAUAUUAGAAAUGAAAUGUUAUUCGUUUUUAAAGGUAUCUAGUUCUUUAAGAAAUAAAUUUAAUUUAGAAAUUUUAUAUUAUUUAAUUAAGUAUAUUAAUUAAAUAAUUAUUUUAUUUUAAUAUUUUAUGGGAUAAGCUAUAAAAUAAAUUAUUAAAAAUUAUUAAAUAAUUUAAUAAAUAUAAGCUUAGAAAUAGCUAUUAUUAAUAAAAGUGUUAUAAUUUAUUUUAUAAUAUUGAUUAUUUAUUAAAUUUUAAUUAUGUAUUAAAGUAUUUAUUUUAAUUAUAAAAAUAAAAAAAUAAUGAUAAAAUUAGUAUAUUAUUUUGUAUAAAUAUAAUUGAUUGAUAAGUUUUUAUAAAGAACUCGGCAAAAAUAAUGUUCGCCUGUUUAACAAAAACAUGUCUUUUUGAAUUUUUUUUAAAGUCUAACCUGCCCACUGAUAAUUUAAAUGGCCGCAGUAUACUAACUGUGCAAAGGUAGCAUAAUCAUUAGUCUUUUAAUUGAAGGCUGGUAUGAAUGGUUGGACGAAAUAUUAACUGUUUCAUGAAAAUUUAUAAUAGAAUUUUAUUUUUUAGUCAAAAAGCUAAAAUAAAAUUAAAAGACGAGAAGACCCUAUAAAUCUUUAUAUAUAGAUUAUUAGAAUUUUGUAGAUUUUUUUUAUUAUAAUAAUUAAUUGUAUUUUAUUGGGGUGAUAUUAAAAUUUAAUAAACUUUUAAUUUUAAAAAAUCAUUAAUUUAUGAAUAAUUGAUCCGUUAAUAACGAUUAAAAAAAUAAGUUACUUUAGGGAUAACAGCGUAAUUUUUUUGGAGAGUUCAUAUCGAUAAAAAAGAUUGCGACCUCGAUGUUGGAUUAAGAUAUAAUUUUAGGUGUAGCCGCUUAAAUUUUAAGUCUGUUCGACUUUUAAAUUCUUACAUGAUCUGAGUUCAAACCGGCGUAAGCCAGGUUGGUUUCUAUCUUUAAAAAAUUAAAAUAUUUCAGUACGAAAGGACCUAAUAUUUAAUAAAUUAUUAUUUUUAUAUUGAAUAUAAAUAAUUUAAC
rnacentral:rRNA from 1 species